AAGACAUCUCAGAAAGCCCACAAAUGGGACAACAAAUGCUCCAGGCAUGUGAAGCUCUGAAGAUCUCCCAAGUCUACAGAUUUCCCCUGGUUCUUUGGCAAGAUUAAAGAGUAACAGUGGAGAUGGAUGUUGCAGAGAACACAGGAAAAGGUUAGAACUCAAAGG
rnacentral:lncRNA from 1 species